GUGCCUUAAACUAAUGAGUAAGGAAAAUAUGAGGCUUUGGUGACGCUUAGCAAUGCUCGAAUUGUAAGCGAACCUAUUUUUGAAGGGGUACAGGUCGUCCUGUGGCUGCCUGAACUACUUUUUUAGGCGGUCUAGUGAAGCGAUCUACCUC
rnacentral:snRNA from 12 species